rnacentral:rRNA from 1 species
GACGAACGCUGGCGGCGUGCCUAAUACAUGCAAGUCGUGCGGACUUUGCGGGAGCUUGCUCCCAAGAAGUUAGCGGCGGACGGGUGAGUAACACGUGGGCAACCUGCCUGACAGACUGGGAUAACAUUCGGAAACGAAUGCUAAAACCGGAUAGGCAGCGAAGAGGCAUCUCUUUGCUGGGAAAGGCGCUACGGCGUCACUGUCAGAUGGGCCCGCGGCGCAUUAGCUAGUUGGUGAGGUAACGGCUCACCAAGGCGACGAUGCGUAGCCGACCUGAGAGGGUGACCGGCCACACUGGGACUGAGACACGGCCCAGACUCCUACGGGAGGCAGCAGUAGGGAAUCUUCCACAAUGGGCGAAAGCCUGAUGGAGCAACGCCGCGUGAGUGAUGAAGGCCUUCGGGUUGUAAAACUCUGUCUUCUGGGACGAACGGCCAAGAGAGGGAAUGCUCUUGGAUUGACGGUACCAGAGGAGGAAGCCACGGCUAACUACGUGCCAGCCGCCGCAGUAA